GUAGAAGGCAAACGUUAUUCGGAAUUACUGGGCGUAAAGCGGGUGUAGACGGCUUUUUAAGUCGGAUGUGAAAUCUCUUAACUUAAUUAAGAGAGGUCAUUCGAUACUAUUAAGCUUGAGGACGGCAGAGGAAGGCGGAACUCCCGGUGUAGCGGUGAUAUGCGUAGAUAUCGGGAGGAACACCAGUGGCGAAGGCGGCCUUCUAGUCCGUUCCUGACGUUGAGGCCCAAAAGCGUGGGGAGCGAAACGGAUUAGAUACCCGUGUAGUCCACGCUGUAAACGUUGGAUACUAGGUAUAGGGGGUAUCGACCCCUCUCUGUGCCCGAAGCUAACGCUUUAAGUAUCCCGCCUGGGGACUACGGCCGCAAGGCUA
rnacentral:rRNA from 1 species